CCUUCUGUCAGGUGCAUCGCGAUCGUAUUUCGAGUUGCCCGAAAUGGUGCGUGAGAGCGGUGAGAGCUAAACACCCGCAGGAGUGUGCCUGAUACCCGUUUCUAAUCUGUCGGACAAAACACGACUGGUCUUCGGAGCGUCGACCUGAACUGGCGGACUCGGUACGUGACAUCUAAACACCCGCAGACGGUCGUUGCCGGUGGAAAUGCCCAGAUUGUCAACUCGCGGAAGCCAUUCAUCGACUCUUCCAGAGGAGUGAAUUCUCCCAACCUCCAGGCCGUGCAUCAUACCCGGUUCAAAUCUUCCGGACACAACACGAACGGGCUUAGGAGCGUCCUCCUGAAACCGGCGAACUCGGUACGUGACAGCUAAACACCUGCAGACGGACGCCAAAGAGAUUCGACCGCGAGACGGAGUAAGUUCCCCUAACCUCCAGGCUGUGCAUCAUACCCGAUUCCAAUCUGCCGGACAAAACACGACCGGGCUUCGGAGCGUCCUCCUGAGACCGGCGGACUCGGUGCGUGACAGCGAAACACCCGCAGAAGUAAAUUCCCCCAACCUCCAGGUUGUGCAUCAUACCCGGUUCAAAUCUGCUAGACAAAACUUGACCAGGAAGAUGAGCUCCCGGUGGGCUUCCGGCUAAGCUGCAACGUCGUCGGGAUGUGGACUUCCCCCGGAAGCUGCACGCUCAUCUCCCCGAAGCAGUCCAUCGGCGCCGCAUGGUGUCGAACGAAGAUGAGUUCCCGGUGGGCUUCCGGCCAAGCUGCAACGUCGUCGGGAUGUGGAAUUCCCCCGGAAGCCGCACGCUCAUCUCCCCGAAGCAGUUCAUCGGCGCCGCAUGGUGUCGAAUGAAGGUUAGCUCCCGGUGGGCUUCCGGGCAAGCUGCAACGUCGUCGGGACGUGGACUUCCCCGGAAGCUGCACGCUCGGCGUUGAAACGUAACAAAUCAUAAUUGCACCACUAUCGAAACAAGUUGGCCACGUGGACUUCAAGGCGCGAAAUAGUCGGAAACUGGACAUCUUCCCAAAGCAGUUCAUCGGCGCCGCAUGGUGUCGAAUGAAGGUUAGCUCCCGGUGGGCUUCCGGCCAAGCUGCAACGUCGUCGGGAUGUGGACUUCGCGCCUCCCCGUCGGAGACUGCUCGAUCAACAUCGGUA